rnacentral:rRNA from 1 species
UACGAAGGGGGCGAGUGUUGUCCGGAGUUACUGGGCGUAAAGCGCACGCAGGCGGUCUGCUAAGUUUGGAGUGACAGUUGGUGGCUUAACUGCCAAAGUGCUUCGAAAACUGACAGACUUGAGGGCUUCAGAGGGACACGGAAUUCCGGGUGGAGUGGUGAAAUGCGUAGAGAUCCGGAGGAACACCAAAGGCGAAGGCAGUGUCCUGGGGAGUACCUGACGCUCAGGUGCGAAAGCCAGGGGAGCGAACGGG